UUAGCAUGGAAUAAUGGAAUAGGACGUGGGGUUUUAUUUUGUUGGUUUCUAGGACCGCCGUAAUGAUUAAUAGGGACAGUCGGGGGCAUCAGUAUUCAAUUGUCAGAGGUGAAAUUCUUGGAUUUAUUGAAGACUAACUACUGCGAAAGCAUUUGCCAAGGAUGUUUUCAUUAAUCAGGAACGAAAGUUAGGGGAUCGAAGACGAUCAGAUACCGUCGUAGUCUUAACCAUAAACUAUGCCGACUAGGGAUCGGACGAUGUUAUUUUUUGACUCGUUCGGCACCUUACGAGAAAUUAAAGUUUUUGGGUUCCGGGGGGAGUAUGGUCGCAAGGCUGAAACUUAAAGAAAUUGACGGAAGGGCACCACCAGGGGUGGAGCCUGCGGCUUAAUUUGACUCAACACGGGGAAACUCACCAGGUCCAGA
rnacentral:rRNA from 1 species